GUUACUCUCGUGGACUGUUUAGCCACAUGGAUGCAUUGUUGCUUUCCUUACAGAGAGAGAGAAGAACAUAGACUUGCCCCAAGUCACCGUUAAUUUGAAGGCAGUGUUUAACAUCCCUCUCGCAAGGAUUUUGGUGUUUCAAUGAGAAAAGGGGGUUACAGGGCCCUGAGCGGUUAGGGGAGUUCAGCUCCUCACUGGUUUUGGGCGGGGGGGGGGCACCUCAUGGCCCCUGGUUUGUGUGGGUCCGGAUCCUGACCGGUGCUGGGAGGGGGGAGCUCCUGACUCUUGCUGUGCGGGGGUCCGGACCCUGACCGGUGCUGGGAGGGGGGAGGGGAGCUCCUGGCUCGACCCUGACCAGUGUUGGGGAGCGGGGGAGCUCCUGGCUCUUGCUGUGGGGAGGGUCCGGAUCCUGACCGGUGCGGGGGGGGGAGCUCCUGGCUCUUGCUGUGCGGGGGUCCGGAUCCUGACCGGUGCGGGGGGGGAGCUCCUGGCUCUUGCUGUGGGGAGGGUCCGGAUCCUGACCGGUGCUGUGGGGGGAGCUCCUGGCUCUUGCUGUGCGGGGGGUCCGGAUCCUGACCGGUGCUGUGGGGGGAGCUCCUGGCUCUUGCUGUGCGGGGGGUCCGGAUCCUGACCGGUGCUGUGGGGGGAGCUCCUGGCUCUUGCUGUGCGGGGGUCCGGAUCCUGACCGGUGCUGGGGGGGAGCGCCUGACCCCUGGU